rnacentral:rRNA from 1 species
AUGAUCACGUGGCUGGCCGUGUACCAUGUCGUGGAGGCGAUGGCGCCGCUGUACACGGCGGCGGUGCUCGGGUACGCGUCCGUGCGGUGGCUCAAGGCCUUCUCCGAGGAGCAGUGCGCGGGGAUCAACCACUUCGUCGCCAUCUACGCCGUGCCCGUCCUCAUCUUCAACAUGGUCUCCACCAACAACCCCUACGCCAUGAACGGCCGCCUCGUCGCCGCCGACACGCUGCAGAAGGCGGUCAUGCUGCUGGGCCUCGUCGCGUGGGCCGCUUGGGAGUCCCGCUCGCGCCGCCGCCGCCGAUCCAACGGAGGCGGCAAGGCCUCGACGGCCUCUCCGCUGCAGUGGGUGGUGACCGCCUUCUCCGUGGCGUCGCUGCCCAACACCAUCAUCAUGGGCGUGCCGCUCCUCGGCGGCAUGUAUGGGGCCAUGUCCAAGGACCUCAUGAAGCAGAUCGUCGUCAUGCAGUUCUGCGUCUGGUACAACGUCGUCAUCUUCAUCUACGAGUACAUGGCGGCCCGGCGCGCUGCGACGGCCAUGGAUGGCACCGCCAAGAUCAGCCCUGGGUCGCCCGGGGCGGCGCCGUCCGCUGAGAAAAUCGCCCCCAAUGACGAGGCCGUCGUUGCGGCCAAGCGGGCCCACGAAGUAACCGUAAACAUCGAGAUCACGGAGGUUGCCGCGGCCUCUACGGCACAAAAAGAUCUGGCAGACAACACAACAACGACGGUGGCCAAGGAGACGAGUACCGACGCGGAGGCAGAGAAGGCGUCGCCGCCGCCGGCGAAGUCGACGGCGCCGUCGGUGAGGCACAUCGGGUUGAUGGCAGGGAAGAAGGUUCUCAAGAUUCCGAAUACCUAUGCAAGCUUCCUUGGCCUCAUCUGGGCCCUGAUCGCAUUCAAGUGCGGGAUCAAGAUGCCAAAAAUAAUCGACGACUCACUGUUUACCAUCCAGACGACGGCGGUUGGGCUCAGCAUGUUCGCCUCGGGGACGUUCAUAGCGCGGCAGUCGCGGUUCGUCCCGUGCGGCUACGCGAUCGCGUCGGUAUCGAUGGUGCUCAAGUUCCUCAUCGGCCCGGUGGUGAUGCUGCUCGCGUCGCUCGCCAUCGGCAUGCACGGCACCCUGCUGCACAUUGCUGUUGUACAGGCGGCACUCCCCCUAGCCGUGACUUCAUUUGUGUACGCUGAAGAAUACAAGGUCCAUGCAGACAUCAUGAGCACAGGGGUAAUUCUUGGAAUAUUUAUCUCCCUCCCCGUCACCAUUGUAUACUACAUUCUAUUAGGGCUAUAA